CCUANGGGAGGCUGCAGUGGGGAAUCUUGCGCAAUGGGCGAAAGCCUGACGCAGCAACGCCGCGUGGAGGAUGAAGGCCCUUGGGUUGUAAACUCCUGUCGGCUGGGAAGAAAUCGUUCGUGGCUCAUACCCACGGACGUUGACUGUACCAGCAAAGGAAGCCCCGGCUAACUCUGUGCCAGCAGCCGCGGUAAUACAGAGGGGGCUAGCGUUAUUCGGAAUUAUUGGGCGUAAAGGGCGCGUAGGCGGCCAUGCGUGUCUUCCGUGAAAUCCCUCGGCUUAACUGAGGACGUGCGGAAGAAACUGCAAGGCUUGAGUCCGGGAGAGGGGGGUGGAAUUCCCAGUGUAGCGGUGAAAUGCGUAGAUAUUGGGAGGAACACCGGUGGCGAAGGCGGCCCCCUGGACCGGUACUGACGCUGAGGCGCGAAAGCGUGGGUAGCAAACGGGAUUAGAUACCCCUNUANUC
rnacentral:rRNA from 1 species